AGAACUGACCAGCGAUGCCGCGUGAGGGAUGAAGGCCUUCGGGUUGUAAACCUCUUUCAGCAGGGAAUAAGCGAAAGUAAGGUACCUGCAGAAGAAGCACCGGCUAACUAUGUGCCAGCAGCCGCGGUAAUACAUAGGGUGCAAGCGUUGUCCGGAAUUAUUGGGCGUAAAGAGCUCGUAGGUGGUCGAUCACGUCGGAUGUGAAAAUCUGAGGCUUAACCUCAGACCUGCAUUCGAUACGGGUUGACUGGAGUGUGGUACGGGAGACUGGAAUUCCUGGUGUAGCGGUGGAAUGCGCAGAUAUCAGGAGGAACACCGAUGGCGAAGGCAGGUCUCUGGGCCAUUACUGACACUGAGGAGCGAAAGCGUGGGGAGCGAACAGGAUUAGAUACCCUGGUAGUCCACGCCGUAAACGGUGGGCGCUAGUUGUGGGAACCUUCCACGGUUUCUGCGACGCAGCUAACGCAUUAAGCGCCCCGGCUGGGGAGUACGGUCGCAAGACUAAAACUCAAAGAAAUUGACGGGGGCCCGUACAAAGCAGCGGAGCAUGCGGCUUAAUUCGACGCAACGCGAAGAAACU
rnacentral:rRNA from 1 species